GACCCAGUGGUAGAGGGACCACACCUGCUCCUCUUAUCCUGGCAGUAUAGUACCAACAUUUGGCAGCAGGAGUCCCCCGUUCGAUUCCGGGCUGGGUCA